UUUUCUGGUCACAGGUGGUCACAGUGUCACAUGGUUUUGGGUCAUUCUUUGAACUAUUUCCGAUCACACUGGCCCGUUGUUGGACUAGUUGUGCCGCAGGGUAAAAGUGAGGUUGAGUGGAGUACAGGGGCCUUCCGAUCCGCCAAGCGUCACAAACCUGUCAGCAGCGCCCGCGUCGGGCCAUCGCCUGAUGGGAUUUUGCGCACCUGCUGUGCGCAAUAAUGUCUUAAUUCUUACAUGCGCAUUUUCUGCGGUGAGGAGUUGAACAAAAUCAGAAAUUAAUGCAGUACAAUUGCUUAAGAUGUCUUUAAAUUUUUCACUGAAAAUGUCCUGUAAUAUAUAAUAUAAGAAACUUUCCUAGAAGGAGCUCAUUUGUAGUUUUUGAUGAAACUGCAAUGUUUAACAGCAUGUGCGUGAUGAUGUAGAGCGCAGGCCCGAUUCACACCGCGCGCGCAGCUCUGGAAUGAGCUUGUGUUGUGUUAUGUGUUAGUUUUAUAAUCGCAUCAGUGUCCCGUCACAUAAACACACAGAGAGCGCAUUUAACACGUUUAAACAGCGUUUGCAGAAAAUAUAGAAAGACGAGAAGAGAGGGAAACGAUGGGCCAAACGCAUACAAAUACACGCGCUGUUCUGGUCAACAAUAACCUCUUGUAUUGCCAUCUCGCGACACCCCCCCACCCAAGCCAAAAAUCAUUGCCUUUUUCAUUAUCCAUGAAUGUUGACUCUGAUAAGGGGAUCCUGACUAUGAGAGCAUCUCUCUGUCUCGGUCUCUCUCUUUCUUUGCGUCCUUUGUUUUAUCUCAGGUGAAUUGUAAUCAUGUGAUCAAACGAGCACCCCCCUUCCAUUACCCUCUUAAAUGAAAAAAUGAGGAACAAAAAGCAGUUCUCUUCUGUGUAUAUAAAAAAAGAAAAGAAAAGAGAAAAGACGUGUGUCUCUCUUUAGAGCGUCUUUUUCUCCGUGUUCCUGCAAACCUACACAUAUAGAGAGGAAAAACACGCGCAGAUCUGUGGAUGUCACUGCUCAGGGGAACACGUCCUGUCCUGCAGGGGGGAACAUGGACCCGGGGCCUGCUCGACACUUUCAUCAGAUGAGCAGGAACACAAGGUGUCACUCAUGCUGAACGUCAGGUUCUGGAUGAAAUGUUGGAGGCUGUGAAAGUAUGAUGGUGCGCUGCCAGUGAAGGUCCUGUAGCACAGCGCCACCUCAUUCUCAUAGCAGAAAGCACUGGGUGAAUGUGAAGGUGUCAGGGUUCGAGUCCAGCGCUUGACUGGCGUCAAGGAGCGAGAUGAGUCUGUCGACCGAUGCCCACUGAGCUCCUUCAGCUCUUUAGCAC